CCUACGGGCGGCAGCAGUGGGGAAUAUUGGACAAUGGGGGGAACCCUGAUCCAGCCAUGCCGCGUGUGUGAAGAAGGCCCUCGGGUUGUAAAGCACUUUCAGUGAGGAAGAACGCCUGGUGGUUAAUACCCAUCAGGAAAGACAUCACUCACAGAAGAAGCACCGGCUAACUCCGUGCCAGCAGCCGCGGUAAUACGGAGGGUGCGAGCGUUAAUCGGAAUUACUGGGCGUAAAGCGCGCGUAGGUGGCUUGAUAAGCCGGUUGUGAAAGCCCCGGGCUCAACCUGGGAACGGCAUCCGGAACUGUCAAGCUAGAGUGCAGGAGAGGAAGGUAGAAUUCCCGGUGUAGCGGUGAAAUGCGUAGAGAUCGGGAGGAAUACCAGUGGCGAAGGCGGCCUUCUGGACUGACACUGACACUGAGGUGCGAAAGCGUGGGUAGCAAACAGGAUUAGAUACCCUAGUAGUC
rnacentral:rRNA from 1 species